CUGGGCUUGCAAAUGACUCUAGCUCAAAAUAAAGAAAAACAAAUUGAAAUGAGGAUUUUAAUCACUGUGAAGGGAAUGAAAGGCUGUGUCAGCGUUUCCAUGGUAAAAUUACUCAGCUGGAUGAUGAAAAUGGUGAAAACACACUGAAACAUGACUGAGCAGACUUUGAAGUGUCCAAUACAGCAGGGCGUUUUGGGAUCACCUAAUAAAUGGCAGUGCAGUUCCCAACCCCAAACAGAAGAGUAUGUGAAGCCUCAGCACCCUCAUCAGGCCACGUAGGAGCCAACUGUGGUGGCACCAUGCAUGUAACUGGCUUCAACCAAGUGACCACCACCCUGUAUCCUUUCGUCAUGGAGAAAAUGUCUCCCUCUGCCUUCAGCACUAAGUUGAGUUCAGCUUCCUUGCCCACUGUCACUUUAACCAAGCUGGAGGAGGCACUGCUCCAGCACCCUCCUGCUCCAAGAUCCAGACCCAGACGCUGCUCCACCCUCUCUAACUGCAUGACAUAGGUGUGGCUUCCUGAUUGUCUACACUUAGUGGUGCUGAUGCAGACUAACUACUAUCACCAACUGGGCACCUACCAUAAACCAGGGUGCUGGUUCUCUACUCACAGAGUUGUUCUUUAUACACCAACUGGAAUAGCCUUGGAUUGCACAUGAGAAGGAAGCACCAGAGUGUGUGGACCAGUGUAUCAGUAAGACAGUGCAUCAAGAAAGGAAGACACACGAAGACGCAGGCAAUCGAUGCCGCCUAGCUUGGUAUCCUGGCCAGCAUAGCCCCGUGCAUAAACAAUCAUCGCUUUCAUGGAGCUUUGUGGCUGACAGAGGAUCUUUACAUGCAUCAGUCCCCGCAACAGCUUUGUAUAUUGCCUUUUAUUCCCUUCCUCAAGGAGUCUUGUAGAGGUCACAUACUUUAUCCAAGAUCUCAUAGCCAACGUCCUUCUGCCUGCGUUCCUACUGCAACACCACCUGCUUCCAUGGUAAACACAUUAUCAGAGAUAGCCAGGAAGAAACAAGCAGUUGGGUCAGCAGCCUUCCCUAAAAGGAAUAGCAUUUGGGGUGGGUCAAAUAGCUAAACUUUUGGGGUGCUUAAGGGAGACUGAGGUGAAAAAUUGCAGGAAGAGUUUGUCUAGGAAAGGUGAUGCAAUGACUCUAUUAUAUUAUCUUAGUGGCAUGGGAGUUCCUCUUAGGGAGGGAACUAUCUUUGUUUGGAAAAAAAGACCUUAGUAUUAAUAAAUGCUUGGGAUAGAAAAUGAGGCCUUGAAGUUGAAGCUACUUUGCCAUAAAGAAUGGGGGCCUACUUUUGAACUUCUAAGGGAGUCUCUAGAGGGAGGCGAAAGGUGAGAAGAGGAAGGGGCAGGGAGAGGCAAAGGUGGAAAGAGACUAGAAGAAAGGUGGGGAGAUGCUAAUGGGGGACAUUUUGUGGAUAUAAAUCUUUUUCCCUCUAGUCCAGUGUUUUUGCUUGAGUUAGAAAGCUAGAGUUAC